CCUACGGGAGGCAGCAGUGGGGAAUUUUGGACAAUGGGGGCAACCCUGAUCCAGCCAUUCCGCGUGAGUGAAGAAGGCCUUCGGGUUGUAAAGCUCUUUCGCAAGGGAAGAAAACUUAUGAUCGAAUAAAUCAUGAGGUUGACGGUACCUUGAUAAGAAGCACCGGCUAACUACGUGCCAGCAGCCGCGGUAAUACGUAGGGUGCGAGCGUUAAUCGGAAUUACUGGGCGUAAAGCGUGCGCAGGCGGUUUUGUAAGUCGGAUGUGAAAUCCCCGGGCUCAACCUGGGAACUGCGUUCGAAACUGCAAGGCUAGAGUGUGUCAGAGGGGGGUAGAAUUCCACGUGCAGCAGUGAAAUGCGUAGAGAUGUGGAGGAAUACCAAUGGCGAAGGCAGCCCCCUGGGAUAACACUGACGCUCAUGCACGAAAGCGUGGGGAGCAAACAGGAUUAGAUACCCUGGUAGUCCACGCCCUAAACGAUGUCAACUAGUUGUUGGUAGAGUAAAAUCUAUGAGUAACGUAGCUAACGCGUGAAGUUGACCGCCUGGGGAGUACGGUCGCAAGAUUAAAACUCAAAUGAAAUUGAGG
rnacentral:rRNA from 1 species